rnacentral:lncRNA from 1 species
CCAUCCCUGAUGGGGUGUCACCCUCACCCAUCCCUAACAGGGGCGUCACCCUCACCCAUCCCUAAUGGGGGUGUUACCCCAACCAUAAUGGGGGUGUCACCCUCACCCAUCCCUCACGGGGGUGUCACCCUGACCCAUCCCUAAUGGGGGUGUCACCCCCACCCAUCCCCAAGGGGGGUGUCACCCUCACCCAUCCCCAAGGGGGGUGUCACCCUCACCCGUCCCUGAUGAAGGUGUCACCCUCACCCAUCCCUAAUGGGGGUGUCACCCUCACCCAUCCCUAAUAGGGGUGUCACCCUCACCCAUCCCUGAUGGAGUGUCACCCUCACCCAUCCCUAAUGAAGGUGUCACCCUCACCCAUCCCUAAUGGGGGUGUCACCCUCACCCAUCCCUGAUGAUGGUGUCACCCUCACCCAUCCCCAACGGGGGUGUCACCCUCACCCAUCCCUGAUGAUGGUGUCACCCCAACCCCAUCCCUGACAGGGGUGUCCCCUCUCUGCAGGCCCUGGGGGACCCCCACCUGCCCGGAGAGCCCUGGGGACAUCCCAAGGGGGUCCCCAAGAACAGGGGACAAACAAGAGCGGAGCAUCGGAGCAGGACGGGCCAGGGGGCCCAGAGAUGGCGGUGCCCAAAGCCCAGGACCUGGAUGUCCCCCAGGGCCAGGAGUCAGCUGUCCCCAAACCGGAGGAGCUG